rnacentral:lncRNA from 1 species
UAUACUCCUCUGCUCAAAAUACUCUCAAGAACUCAAGCUAGGGUUUCAAUUUGAAGACCCAAAUCCCAUCAAUCGAAAAACAUAACUCCUCAUUUAUCUUCAAUAUCAAAAGAAGGGUUUCUCUCAAGAUCAUAACCUAUAACAAGAAUCAAAUCCUUCUUAAAGAAUAUAUGAUAUUCAAGUUUUUCAAACUCAAGAGCCAAUUUAUUUUCUCUCAAAGGAACAAGAACCCUAGUCAAGGAAUCAAGAACAUAUCUAAGAAUUUCUUCAAGAAUCUUCCACCUAAGGUAUGUGUAGUGUUCAUUCACGGAUUCCUUUCAUUCGUAGGAGUCCAAGAACCAUACUUUAAAUACUAUAUUGUGAUUGUCUUGUUGGGAUAUGAUCAUGUACAUGUUGAUGGUUGUUGUUUAUGCUUCAAGAUGUUAAUUUAGGGUGAUUCUCAUGAAGUAUGUGUGCUUGUAGUUAAAACUCAUGAAAUUGGGUGGUUUAAGAUGACUAAAUUAUUAAGAACACCUAUACUAUAAAGUGUGCAUGUAAGGUGUUCGACGAAAUGCCUAGAAUAGGCAUAAUCAUGUUUUCAUGAUUUAAGAGUGCUCAAUUAACAAGUCCUUACUCCAUGUUUUAUGAUUUCACGUGAAUUCCAUGUUGUGUGAAUAAAGUUCGAAUCUUUACAUGUUAUUCAUGAUACCAUGAUAUUUUGUGGAUUCAAUUGGUGGAAUUGAGUUGAAUUAUGGUGUUAUGGUGUAUAAAAUUGAUCAUUAGGCCUAUACCCUAAAUAGUGCAUGCAAGGUGUUUGUUAAAAUGCCUAAGUGAAGAAGAAUUGAGCACUUUGACCUCUUUGUGAUCUAAAUGAUAUUCCAUGCCAUAUCCAUGUGCUUAAGUUAACUCCCAUGCUAAAGCUAUGCCUACCAUGUGUUUGAUAAUGUGCCUCAACGAAUAAAUGAUGAUCAAGUACCUAAUCUUCAUGCUCAAAGAUUUUUCCAUGUCUCUUAAGUUAUGCCAUGUCUACUUGAUCAAGAUGAUUUCUAUGCUAUUAAUGUGCUAUGAAUAUGUUGUUGGCUUGUCAUGAUAUUAGAAUUGACCAUGAUAUUAGCUAUAUGAAAAGGUUAUGAAAACCACAUGAUUUAUGAAUUCCCCGUAGAUGCUAUAUUAUGGAUUGUUAAUGUUAGUCAAGUACUCUUGUAUGUCAAGUCAUGUCAGUUUCCUUCCAUCGAGUCCUAAGGGUAUUCGUACCCAAAAAAUAUAGCUGUGUGCCUAGAGCCAUGUUAUAUUUUCAUGAUACUCUCAGUCAAGCCCUGUUCAGUAGACUUCAGUCAGCUAACAGAACUCAGUAGCAUUUAGUCAGUUAACAGAAUUCAGUAGUGUUUCGCUAGUCAUCGGAACUCAAUAAACUCAGUCCAUGUUCAGUUUAGUUAAACAGAACAAUCAGUAACAGUUCAGUUAAUUCUAGUAUAAACUAGGAAAUCAGUUUAGUAUAAUCAGUUCAGUGUCAUUCAUUUGGGAGUAGGAUUCAGCACCGAGCGAACCCAAGGAUGGGAACUCACCUGCCAGUGCAGGGUGUGAUUCUUAGAAGCAGCCCUUGCAUUCCAGAACUAUGUAGCCAGCAUAGGUUGAGACAUCAAUACCUGUCAGUUGAGGGUAGAUGAGGUGGAUUAACCUGUCAGAUGAGGGUUCCCACCGUUCUCAUUAGAGUACCUGCCAGAUGAGGGUCACUUUCAGCUUGUCCUUGCCAGUGGAGCAGUAUUGACAUCCUUCCAAUCAGGGUAGAGAUUGGACCCCAGCUUCGCUAUUAUAGCGUAUUUGGGGUAUGUCGGUUAGAUAACUACUUCCCACAGUUUCAGUAUCAGUCUCAGUAAAAGAACUCAGAUAGUUCUUCAGGAUAUCAGGACUGUCAGAUACAGUCAACUCAGAUACAGUACAGAACUCAGCUAGUUCCAUCAGAUUUAGGACUGUCAGAUACAGUCAUUCAUGUUAUUAGUUAUCAGAACUCAUGUUAUCAGAUAUAUCAGUUAUCAGAAUUCAGAUAUCAUUCAUGAUAUGUUAUCGGUAAAUACCUGUCAUCAGUAUUCAUACUUAGUAGUCAUGUUAUCACGAGCUCAGUUUUAGGACUGUUAUAUACGGUCAAUCAAAUCGGUUAUUUAUAAUUAAACUAUCAAAAAUAACCAUUUCUUUAUCAGUAAUAUAGUAUCAGUCUCCCAAUAUUCAGUAAUACAGUAUCAGUUCCUCACUUAUUAGUGAAUUACAUAUCAAUAUCAGUAAACUCAGUCAUUCAGUACUCAAUAUCAGUAAACNNNNNNNNNNNNNNNNNNNNNNNNNNNNNNNNNNNNNNNNNNNNNNNNNNNNNNNNNNNNNNNNNNNNNNNNNNNNNNNNNNNNNNNGUAUGUAUGUAUGUAUUCUCACGUUCAUAUCAGUCAGCAUUGUUCAUGCAUAUAAAACCCUUUGCAUUUAGCUUACCUCACUCGUAUACUCAGUACAUUCAGUCGUAUUGACGUAUUUGCUCUAUGGUGUUUUAUUUGACGCCAUAGGUACAGAGACACGAGUUUCAGAGCAGCAGUAGCAUUGUAGAUUUCAGGAGUCAGUGCUCCUCUUCAU